rnacentral:rRNA from 1 species
GAUGAACGCUGGCGGCAUGCCUAACACAUGCAAGUCGAGCGGACAGAUGAGGCGCUUGCUUCUCUUACGUGGCGGGCGGACGGGUAAGUAACACGAAGAUGACUUACAUAUAAGACUGACAUACCUACACGAAACCGAAUCUCAUACAGGUUCAUAUAUUGAACCGCAGGGUUCAUCGGACAACGACGGAUUAGCUGUCACUGAUUGAUGGUUCCGCGCCGCAUUAGCUAGUUGGUAAGGUAACGGCUUACCAAGGCAACGAUGCGUACCCGAGCUGAGAGGAUGAUCGGCCACACUGGAACUGAGACACGGUCCAGACUACUACGGGAGGCAGCAGUGGGGAAUCUUACGCAAUGGGCGAAAGCCUGACCGAGCAAUGCCGCGUGUGUGAAGAAGGUCUUCGGAUUGUAAAGCUCUUUUAGUUGGGAAGAAGAAAAGUGUGUGUAACUCUUGACGUUUUGACGGUACCUAAUGAAUAAGCACCGGCUAACUACGUG